GACGAACGUUGGCGGCGUGCUUAACACAUGCAAGUCGAACGCUGAACCCGCUUCGGUGGGGGAUGAGUGGCGAACGGGUGAGUAACACGUGGGCAACCUGCCCCCGGCUCUGGGAUAACUCCAAGAAAUUGGGGCUAAUACCGGAUGUGACCGCUGGCCGCAUGGUCUGGUGGUGGAAAGGGUUUCCGGCUGGGGAUGGGCCCGCGGCCUAUCAGCUUGUUGGUGGGGUAGUGGCCUACCAAGGCGACGACGGGUAGCCGGCCUGAGAGGGUGACCGGCCACACUGGGACUGAGACACGGCCCAGACUCCUACGGGAGGCAGCAGUGGGGAAUAUUGCGCAAUGGGCGGAAGCCUGACGCAGCGACGCCGCGUGGGGGAUGACGGCCUUCGGGUUGUAAACCUCUUUCAGCAGGGACGAAGCGCAAGUGACGGUACCUGCAGAAGAAGCACCGGCCAACUACGUG
rnacentral:rRNA from 1 species